UACGUAGGGUCCAAGCGUUGUCCGGAUUUAUUGGGCGUAAAGAGCUCGUAGGCGGCUUAGUAAGUCGGAUGUGAAAACUCGGGGCUCAACCCCGAGACGCCAUCCGAUACUGCUGUGGCUUGAGUCUGGUAGGGGAACACGGAAUUCCUGGUGUAGCGGUGAAAUGCGCAGAUAUCAGGAGGAACACCGAUGGCGAAGGCAGUGUUCUGGGCCAGUACUGACGCUGAGACGCGAAAGCGUGGGGAGCGAACAGG
rnacentral:rRNA from 1 species